rnacentral:lncRNA from 1 species
AUGGUUCACUGCUGCCACCGCUUUGUAGGUCGAGUAAUUUUCCAAAGUGGUGAAGACAGUGCAGCCCAUGUGCAAGGCGAUGGCGAUGGCAGCUUGACCAACACCACCAGUACCAGCAUGGACAAGCAGAGAGUCUCCGGGCUUCAUACGUCCUCUCACAAUCAGAGCGUAGUAUGCCUGAAAUAUUUGCAUGAUUGUUGUUAAUUUUUCAAGCUAUGAUUGUUAGUUGUAAAUUCUUAGUUAAUUUUACAUAAAAAACUGUUAUAAAGUAAAAGAACAUACUUAUGAAACAAUUCAUUUGUUAUUCAAUUAAACUACGGCAUGCUUUAAAAUCUUGUACAAUUUUUCAUUUAAAAAACUGCUUUGAGCCUCGCAUUUUGCCAUAUCGUCCAACCUCGCUUAAUCUCAUCAGAUUCCAGAGGAGAAAUGACUAAAUAUCUAUAGAUUAUAUUCAAGCGAUAGAAUUUGGGUCCUAUAUUUGAAUGGUCAUAGCAGGAGAAAAUUAUUUCCCGUUAAUUUAUUACUAUAUAAAACAGGAAAACACUAUGGAGUCCACGGUAAACGAAGGUCACUCAUUUAUUCAAUGUAAAACUUUAUUAGAUAAUUCAUCUGGCAGCUCUACUUUAUUUGAGUCCUAAACCUCGCAAACUAAAUUCUUAUACUUCCAUAAAACUUGUUCUGGACUGUAACAAAAGCUGGAAUCGAGUUGAAACUUUUAGAUUCCGCCAAGGGUGCCAGGCUGUGUGAAGGAAUCUGAAUAUUAGGUACUGAGUUAAAUAGGGAAAUGUGCUGAAUUCAGGGUUGCCAGCCAAAUUAUUUUUUUCCAUUCCCUGACUUUUCCCUGACUUUCCAAUAUUUUUCCCUGACUUUUAAGUAUGGUUCUGACAGUUCGUUCAAGUGAAAAUGAGAGCUAUUUUCGACUAUUUAAAUUUUUAGAACCGCCCGCGCCUAAUUCCACGAAAAAUCAGAAAAAUCCCUGACCAACACUGAAAUUCACUGACUUUUCCCGGUUGGUUUUUUUUCCCUGACUUUUCCCGGUCGCUGGCAACCCUGUACAGCACAAUCUAGCAAAAAUGUAUUCUGGAUACUCACGGUAGAGUAAACUACAGGAAUGGUUGAUGCCUCAGCCAAGUCCCACUUCUCGGGCACCUCCCACAGGAAGGUUGGGUCAGCGAGGACGGUGGUAGCAAGACCACGAGCUGCAACCAUACCCAUGACACGACGGCCCUUGGUGUCGCGACCAGUGAACUCCAGACCAAGGAUGCAGUCUUGACCAGCGAGGUCUCCGGGCAGCGCAUCUGGCGGUAGUUUACCAGAGGCCAACAUGAUGUCACGGAAGUUGAGGGGUGCAUAGUAGACAGUGCACAGCUCUUCAUUGGGGGUUGCUCGGGCCUGAAUAGAGGAGAAACCGUAUGGAUUAAAACACGUUGAACUCUGAAGUUUUUUUCCAGUACAUUGAUGGUGACAACCGGGAAAUCAAAAAUCAAUCUAAGAAACUUGUUUUCACUUCAACAGGGUGUCUACAAAAUUUUCAAAAUGAAAUUCCCUGACAAUUCCAGGUUUUUCAUGACAAAAAUGACAAAAUUUCCUGACUUUUUGGGUUUAGCCAUACGAUGAGCUAGUUAGAAAAUAUUAAAAAAACUAUCCUUAGGAAUGACCCUGUAAAGUCAUAUUCUGAAUUACCAUAGCGUUGGAAGGAGUUGAGUAAUAAUUUUGAAAGGAACGAGAUCCUAAAUACUCAAAAAAAAGCUAAUUCCAAAAUGGUAUACUCAGAGCAAAAUUCACCUUCAAAAUUUAAUUUUUAAGCUCUACUACGGUCUCUUUGUGACAUAUCGCCCUGUAUACUUUUGAAAAUUCAAACUAUAGUUCACCCUGGUGGUUUCAUAAAUAUUGGCAUAUUACUUAGUGCCCUGAAAAUACAAGUCUCUUUUUUCUUAAAAUAUAAAACAAGAGUUGUAAAUGUGCCUAACUCAGACAGAUUUUGCUAUAAUCAAGAGGAAAUACGAGUCUAUUCUCGAUUUUAGGUAAAUUUGCUUGAUUCGGGAUUUUUUUUUUUUUUUUUUUAAAGGUCAAUUAAUUCAAUAGAUUCCAUUCCUUAUAUCAACCUAUUGUUGGCCGUGUUGCAAACUGGUUGAACAGAGCAGUUUACAUUAUCAGCCACGCGAAUGCUCUACUCGGACAAUUUGGCAGUGACAAGCAAAAAUAGCCGCGAAAUGUUCGAAUUGCGAAAAUUCCCUAACUUUCACCGGUUUUCGAUCGAAUUCCCUGACUUUUCCCGGUUUUCCAGACAGUGAUCAAAUUCCCUGAUUUUUCCCGGUUUUCCAGACCUGUAGACACCCUGUUCAAAUACUCCCAAAGAGAUAAACUCAUGCUUGCAAUGAAAGUCCCAUCCCCUCUCAGUCCCUAACCAAGGCAGCUCCAGGUAACCGUUGUUCGAGACUAUCAAACUUGAUUCGCCUGAAAUGGAAUCGAACCCAGAACCUCCCGAUCAAAGAGCAAGUGCUACAACUACUACACCACAGGGACCGACCUGAGGCAAAAUUGAAGAGCAAUUGCUUCCUUUUCUUGACAUCAUUUGGCUCUUUCCACAUUCAGGAUAAUGGAACCAUUUUAAUAAAAUUUGAAAACAAAAAAUGAUGAUUUUUGCAGAAAAUUUGAUGACUUCUUUGGCUAGAAAUGAUUGAAGCUCCUGAAGUUUAUUGAAAUAUGAAUUUUGACACAAAUAUUUUAUACAUGAUCCACAUUCAAGAUAAUGGAACCAUUUUAAUAAAAUUUGAAAACAAUAAUUAUGAUUUUUGCAGAAAAUUUGACGACUUCUUUGCUAGAAAUGAUCGAAGCCGUUAAAAGUAGUAAGUUUAUGAAAAUAUGAAUUUUGACACAAAUAUUUUCUACAUGAAAAAUAAAAAAAGGAAUUCUAUGACCCCUUGUUUAAUAAAAUAACUUUGUAUCUUUUUCCUAAAUUCAAUCCAAUUUCUCAUUCAAAGGAUUAAAUUUUUUUUUUUUUUUUUUUUUUUUUUUUUUAAAUAUAUAUUUUUCAGCAUAUGAUACAACCACCUUUUACAAAGUGUAAAUUAUCUUCUCCUUUUACAAGUGUAAAUUAUCUUCUCCUUUUGCAAAGUGUAAAUUAUCUUCUCCUUUUACAAAGUGUAAAUUAUCUUCUCCUUUUGCAAAGUGUAAAUUAUCUUCUAUAAAGGAUUAAAUGGAAAGUAGUUUUUAGGAACCAGAUUCUUAUUUAUAAAAAAUAAUGCUGGGUAAAAAGUUUCAUACUUGUAGAAUGAGAGUGGUCCUUCAAUCCACUUGAGACUGGACAGGUCACCACGCGUGAGGGCGUUAAUGUAGGCAUGUUCCACGCUCAGAGAGGUCUUCUCAGACUCGUUUUCUAAGCUGAAGUGACGGUAACAUCCCCACUGUUUGUUCUUGUAAACGUUGUGGACGAGGUCCUUCUUCAAUUGGGCAGCAUAUGGUGCUGCAGUUAGGGAGAAUUUGGGUGCGUCUGUAUCUUGGAUGAAUACAGCGCUGAAAUUGAACAAUAAACACAUCAUUGAAAUUGAAAGAUCAUGAAAUACUUUAUAUUACUCUCCAAAGUUCAUGAAAGCUCUCCAUGACUAAAUUUAAGAGCAUUUAAGGAGUUUUUUCAAGCAGUUCU